UCAGAAUACUGAAAUCAGAAUCAACAGUAGGAGCUAAGUAUUGUUUUAACAUUAGAAAUGUACUAAAUUCAGCUAGUCUUUUUCAGGCAAAGGUUCAGUGUUACACUUUUGAAUAGCUGUCUUCACUUUUAGAUUGGUACGUGCUUUAGUUACUGAUUUUGUUAUUAACUCUUACAAUCCAGUUGUCAAAUAUGACAACAGUAUUGGAUGAAAUGCAACUCUAGUUUUAAUUCCAGUGAGGCUAACAUAGUCAGCAUGAUCUUCUAUAUGUUAGUGUGCAGACUUUGGUUUCUGGUGUAUUCACAAAUUGUCUUACCUGCAGUAGCGUGGUUACAGCAUUAAUGCAGUGAUUUCUUAAGUCAUACUUUUUUUCUCUCCAAGACCCUCUAUAGCAGUGAGAUGAGAUAAGAAUACAUUGUCAACCUGAACUCAAAAUUUCCUGUCCCUUUUCUGCUCAGCUUUUUAUUUUAAAGUAGGCAAUUUCAAUUUGGCAGGCUCUGUGUGAUUCCAAUCACCAUUUGGAACGCCAGCCGGAUUGCUCCACACUGAUGAGAAACAAGACGCACUGCGAUGUGUUUGGGUUAGCUCUUUUAUCCCUGGCAGAUCAUGAAGAAAGGCACUUAGCCUGAAAAUGUUUGAUAUUCCUGCAAAGUAACCCUACCUGCCCUGCCUUUGUAUCAACUAGUAGAGUAUUAACUAAACACGUUUUUCAUUUCUAUUUUCAAAUUAUUAUUGUUGUGAGAUGCUGUAAUUUAUAACAAAUUAUACACACCAAAGCCAUGUUAAGAGUUGAAAAAACUCAUGGAGAGACACUAUGAGUAAAAGCUGAGAUUCUAUCUUUAAUGCACUCACUUCACAUUUGGGAUCUCAGAACAUAGGUUUUGGGGAAACCACCAACUGGUUAAAGAAUCCAGCCAUUUAACUCAAACAAUAUGAGAUAUAUUCUUUUCUGGAAAAUCUUACGAAAGCACAUUUUCAAACACUGGCAGCUGACUAAGAAAAAGACCUGUAAAUGAUCUUUCUUGCCACUGUUAUGUUUAAAAGUACUGUCAGCAUUUCUGUUGCAGGGAUUUACUGUAAAGUACUAGAUUAAUUUCUAACUCAGCCAUAAGAAUAUAUGUUACUUUCAAAUUUAGUGACUUAUUUUGGCCUACAAAAUAUACACAGAUAUGCACUGGUGUUCAUGCACUUGUUGAGAGCAACUUCAUAUAGGAAUGCAUGUUCACAUACACAAGUGCCCAUGCACUCUAUAGAAAUGCUUAUAAACAAAAAAACCCUACACAAGUGAUGACCCUACUGGCAUGCACAAAGACAACUCCCAUGCACAUGAAUAUUUUUGUGGGCAUUAGUCAGCUGCUUGGUUGUGAAAACUUGAUCCAGUGUUUGACUCUGGAGUUAUUUGCAUGACCAGGAUGCACUAUUUAGGUCUCUAUUAUAAAUCCUUGUAAUACAAUUGCUGACAGAACCUUUAGCACAGCAUUCCUAGCAGAUCAUUUAUGAUAAUUAUGAUCUGCUAGCAGAUCAUUUAUUCAUUCAACCCAAGAAUAAAUGCUUGAUACAUAAAUUUUAAUAACUGCAGUCCUGCCCAGUCAGGACGACCCCCUUCCAAAUGACUGGCAAUACCCAGAAGUUGCAUGACUCAUUCCCUCCUUUGUAUAUUCCCAGCUGGCACAUUCAGUUCCCUCUUAGUACUCCUAUAUUUCACAAUUCUUAACAAUCGUAUUCUCCUUUCCUUAAGUGAGACUGUUUGAAGUGAAACCAGGAGAAUUAUCAAUUAAAAUAAAAACACAGCUAAAUGACUGAGUAUUGCCCUUUGGAUGAAUGCAGAACGCAGAUCUUAGAUGUAUAUAGCACAGUUUACUUUAUGCUCUCUAUCCAGACUUUAUUUAAUAGUGAUAUUUCACACUUCCAGCAGGAUGGUUAAAUUGUAUGUUCAGAUGUGUCUGCAGAACACAUUUAAAUUGGAAUCUAUGAUAUGGACAAGCAAGAUUAAUAAAAUAAUACCUAAUUUUUUUAAAAAAAUAAAAGAGAUAAUGUUAUGAUUGCUCAUGGUGUCAAUUCACCAUUCCUUGCUACAGUGCACCUCCAUGGCAGAUCUUGUUCUCCUCUCCUUAACCAUGUUUGUUGCAUGUCCUCAGCAGCUGAGUUUUAAAAACGUUGCAUGAACAAUAACGUUGACACUUUAGACCUCUAGUCCAUCUUGUGUGAGCUGUCGUAAUGCCUUGCUGAAUCAGCCACAUGAUCAGCGUCGUAACGCCCCUGGUGGGACAGCCAGGAGUUGAGUAUUUGACUCUGGAAAACAACUAACAUCCAGGGAGACAAUAACAAACUGACAUGUUUGUAAUGACCAUUCAACCCCUUUGAUUCCAAAAGCCUCCUGUUUCAGAAAGUUAAGGAACGGACUGAUCCUGAGCCAACUCUUUCUGUGCAACAAAGCCUGAUUUCUGUGGACUUUCAAAGAAGUGAAUUGAGCAGAUAAUUCGGCACUGAGAAAGUGAGAGCGCUGACAAAUCUUACUGAGUUAGAGGCAAUUGCAGGUGACAAGCAGUUCUGCAAUAAAGCCACUUUUAUCUAGAAUUUUAGAUCUGGGUUGAGGAGCCUCGUUUUAGACACCCAGGCUUGAAAAUUACAACUUAAAUUCAGGAAUGGAUUAACUACUGAAUUUCUCUUGUAGGAAAUGGAUUUCCAGGUUGGGAACAGCUCUAGCACUUAGGCAGUCACCCAUUUACUAAGUAUAGCUAUUCAUUUUAAUUUGCAUAAAGAACAUGGAUAUGUAAGUCUCCAAUUACUUUAAAAGCAAUAUAUCAACUGAUACAGUGGAGUAAUUAGUUCAAUGAGGAAAUGACAUUACAUAGUGGAAAGCUUGGUUUGCCAAAGAUCAAUUUGUUGACUUUUGAAUGCAACUGGAAAUUAAAUGCAGACAACAAAAAGUAGACUGUUUUAGUAAAAAGCCAUUUCAUCAGUUUGGAACAAAUGAAAAGAAUAUCUUCUCUGCCAGAGGAGGAAGUUCAUCCAAGGACCAAAAGGAAAGGACAAAGUGCUUUUUACAAGCAAGAAGGUUUUCGUUCUCAUUGAAAGAUGAAUGUGAAGUUUGCUGAUGUAAAAGGGAACACUGGUGUCUACCCCACACCAUCGUAACCAGGACUAAACUGGAGGCAGUAUGAGGGUCUCUGACUUCGCUCUGGUUCUGCUUCCAUGUGGCCUUGGUUGCUUUCUUUGCAUCAGCAACCAGAAAGUGGAGGUUGCUUGUGGAUCCCUCACCCUCCGCCUAAGUUGUAAGCUCUGAAUUCAUGCCUUUUUGAAAGAAAAAAAAAGUGUGGAGACUGACGUUUUUGUGAUGAAGAAAUUCCAUUAAGUAUGAGUAUACAUGCUAUAUGUCUGUAUUACAGAAACACUUGAAACAUAGCCUAUUGAAUCUGUGUAGUAACAAAACCAAAAUGGCAAUUUAGGAUGACAUUAAGAGAUUAGCAUCCUUAGUAAUAAUAUAAGGAAUGUUGAAAGUUGAAACACUCAGCAAUUAACUAUUUUUGUAUUCUAGGAACUCUUCCCCCAGCUAGGUUAACAGAACAACUGCAAAGCAGAUCUAAAAGGCUCCCAAACAUACCUGGAUGCAGCUAGAUGUACCGACAGACUGACUCUGCAUGCCACUUGCAGAGGUCACCGAGAGUCAUGUCUAAGCAUUCUUGGGUGACUGUUAGGAGUAGGAGAAAAACGUGCUCUGGGCAGUCUAUCAUCCUGCCUACUAUACAUCUAAUGCAAAUUGUGGAGGAACUGUGAGCAGACAGUACAAGUUAUGGGAGAGCUUUAGACGAGGCCAGUACACACCAGGGGGCUGAGUGGGUCUCUGGUAGCCUCGGAAUAUUUAUGGCAUAUUUCCUUUUUUAUUACUGCAUUUGUAGCUCUCUGUUUACCUCAAGGACCUUCAGAUCAGACCUGUGUUCACCACACUCUGAUGAGUCCAGGCCUAUAUUUAUGCUUGAGCCUUUGCUUUUUAAAAAAAUGCAUCUUUCACUUCACUGUAGUUUGUAUUUUUAACAUGGGCUUCUACCAGAUCUAUAUAGUUGUCAGUUAAGAGCUCUUGCCAGCAGCUGAAUUAUCACACAGUGUGCUGAUGUAUUCUGAUGCGAAUAUAAAUUGUUCAUGCUUGUCUGCUUAUAAGUACAAUUUCUCUUUGAAAGACUCACUGUGAAGCAAAUCCAAGGGUAACCAGCUUUUUUUAAAGAAAGGCCUGGAAUUCUGUGGGAAACUGUGAAAUAAAAGGGGGACUGUGCUUUUGGAAAAUAUUUCAUAUUUAACACCAAAGGUAAAUUUUGGGGGGCAUUGCUCAAUUCAAUAUUUAUAGUAUAGAGUCAAACUGAAAUUCAACUAGAACGCACGUUAGUAACAAAUACAACCUCUUAGUAAUUUUGAUUCUAUGCUGCCAUCUUGUGACUCUAAACGUGACUUACAAUUGUAUUAUAGCCAGGAGAUUAAGAAGCUGUUUGGAUACGAUCAAUAGGAUUUGAUGAGGACAUUAUAUUGAAAUAUUCUUUCUGUUCUUACUUAGUCACUGCGUACUGAAUUAAUGGCGGGGAAAGAACAGAAAAAUUUUGGCAACGUAUCUGCUAAUGCAGUCAUCUGUGAGGAGUCCUGAGCUUGGCUAUUGUGGAUAGGAUGAUUACAGGGUUAAAAAGUCAUUGUCCCUGAAUGCAUCUGAGCAGGAAACUUCUAUCAGGGUCCAUUAAAUCAAUUCCUACCUUUGGGUAAGCAGAUCCCCCAAGCCUUCUUCAUAACACCAUAGAAAAAUACCAAGUCAGCAUUUCUAUCAAUGUGGGAAACAACAAGAGGUAAAGGUCUGACCUUUCUGUAAGAUAAAGGGCUAGACAUUUAGUUUGGGGUGAAAUUCAAGGUUGAAUAACCAGAUGUUGUAGAGCAUUUUAUCUUGUACAGCUGUUCCUGCAGCUUGGCUUUGAGGAGUCUGUUGAAGAUGAAUGGGAGACAGUAGACAGGGUGGCUGCUAAACGCACAGAAGGUAGGCAGUACCAUGCGUUGUAUCACUAGCAUAAAGUAGGCUCAGUGCAGAAGGCCUCCAUUUUUGGUGAUGCUACUCAGGACGAAGUUUUGCACAUCACGGCAUGCUAGCUGUACAGUAAUAGGUAGAUGACAGAGCAGGUGUUCACUUCUAAUACACCAUGCUGUAGAAACCAGCUUUCAAAGCUGGAGGACCCACUGAUGAUCUAUAGUUCAAAAAGAUCUGAAGGUGGAAAAACUAGUUUAUUAUGUAAAUAUCAUCCAGUAGAGUAAAGGGAAUUCUGAGUUCUGAAUCUGAAAUCUCUGAAUUCAUUCUGAGAAUGAAUUUAGAGAAAAGUUUCUAACCACCGGAUCAGUGAGACAUCUAGGAGAGCAGAGGUAACCCAGCUAGUAAUAGGAUAAAUCUCGUUAAAGUUGUUGAAAGUGCUUUUAUGAUGGGUUGCUGGCAAGAGCAGGGACCUGCAAUCUAGAAUGCAGGAGAUGGUUGCUUCCAGGCCUGUGCUUGCCGCAGUUUGUGAGACACCAAAUCCUGAAAGCUCAGUAAGAGCCUCAAUUAUAUGAACAGAUGGGCUGUGCUGAAUCUUAACAAAAUUAUGCUGAAAAAAAAAUUUGUGAGAUUUAGGUGUAGCCUGAAUAUAGGGGAGAGCUUAAAGGACAUAGGGGUUUGCACCUGUGCACAAAGAGGGAUCCACUUAUUAUCAGGAAAGAAAGUGGAAGACAAAUGGAAGACCUGAAUAAAAAAUAAAGAACUCUAUUUUACCCAGUUGGAACUAGAAUAUUCAAAGGUUAGUUCAAGACCAUUGGAUCUAAAUGUGCUUGAAUUUAUCUUUAACUGUGAUGCAGCCUGGCAGAUUCACACUUUCACAGGGAAGUGCACCUGUAGCAAGGAGGAGGAACUUGUGCUUAAAAGAAUUUGGAGGGUGUAGUUCCAGUUGGAAAGUUUGCAUAAGGAGGCUUGAAAAGUCCAGUUGAAGCAACCCCACAUUAUCAAAUUGCAUUGAGUAUUUAUUUUCUAUAUUAUUUCUUUGUGCACUUUCAGCAUUAUUCAAGGAGUACACUAUUACUAUGAGUUAAGAAAUAACAUACAAAAAAUGGCUCCAGCCUAGUUUCUCAAUGUCAACUACAUCAUUUUGGUUAUAUUUUAAGGAGAAAAAGACUAAGUCUGAGGAGGACUGUAGAUUUAGUUUUCCAGUAUUACAGCUGUAUGUAUGUGAGUAUUUCUAGCAAACAGGGAAAAUCUUUUCCUUUGAAUUUCUGCUUCCAUGCUUUUCUGGCCCUUUUACACAAGCUACUUCAAAGUCUGUAUGAACACUACAAUGGCUACUACUUUUGCUGCCUUGGAUAAUACUGCCACAGGAAAGGUUUGGGAACUCGAGGCUCAGAGGUGCCGGGUUUUGCAUACAACCCAUUAAAUGAUAUUAAUACCUACUAAUAAUUUACAUAAGGUCAUACACCUCAGUUUAUGGUUAGCACAUCCAUCAUGCAGGCAGUGAUAAGGUAAAGGAAGAAAUUGUAUAAAGCCCCCAGAGCCUUUGGAGUUGAUGAGUUUUGAGUACCCAAAGAAAAGCGAAGUAGGAAUCUUCCUCUGGAUAGGAGGAAACCAGAAUAGGUGAAAGUCAGCUGAAAACGUGUAUUUUGGUGAAUACUGGGUGGCUGCUGCAGAAGAGGUUUCUGACUAAGCAGCCAAAAGUCGGUACACUGAUUCAUCUCAAAUAAAUUGGUUGGACUCAAUUUUUGUGUGGCAUAUAGUCAGUCUGGGCAUAUGCAGUAGGUCUGAUAUGCUGCACUCUCCAUUUGUGCAGAAUAAAGUGCAUGUGUGCAAAUG